AGGACGAACGCUGGCGGCGUGCUUAACACAUGCAAGUCGAGCGGAAAGGCCCUUCGGGGUACUCGAGCGGCGAACGGGUGAGUAACACGUGAGUAAUCUGCCCCUAGCUCUGGGAUAGCUCCGGGAAAACCGGGAUUAAUACCGGAUACGACCACUUUAGACAUCUGUUGUGGUGGAAAGAAUUUUGGCUAGGGAUGAGCUCGCGGCCUAUCAGCUUGUUGGUGGGGUAACGGCCUACCAAGGCGACGACGGGUAGCCGGCCUGAGAGGGCGACCGGCCACACUGGGACUGAGACACGGCCCAGACUCCUACGGGAGGCAGCAGUGGGGAAUAUUGCGCAAUGGGCGAAAGCCUGACGCAGCGACGCCGCGUGGGGGAUGAAGGCCUUCGGGUUGUAAACCCUUUCAGCAGGGACGAAGCGAAAGUGACGGUACCUGCAGAAGAAGCGCCGGCUAACUACGCGCCAGCAGCCGC
rnacentral:rRNA from 1 species